GGCCAUGAGGGGCCCACAUCAUGGCCACACAGUCCCAUGGCCUGGCUCAGGUAAGGUGCCACACACCUCCGGUAGUAGCAGCUGCAUCCUUGAAGUCCGUCAGUCUGAAGGGGAGAGAAAUGAUAGGAAAUGUUACAGCGCCAGGAGGACGGAUACCAUGCUACAGUGGUCCUCAGAGUAAUGGCCAAGGAAGAUCUAAGAUUCCUGUCUACAGCUACGAAUGAAUACCACCAACAGACAGACUGCAGAAGCCACGGGAUGUCGCCCUCUUUACCUGCAAAGGCUGACCUACAUGGACUCUUUCUCAAGGAGAGUACAAAAAAUCACAACGCAGCACUGCCAAUAUUCAAAAUGAUAGUGGGCUAAGAACAGCAUAAAUGCUAAAACUGGAUUUUGAAGCCAGUUACCUCAAAAUGAGGUGACAGAAAAUGGACCACCACACAAGUCCAAGCUAUGGAAAUACCGUGCUUGGAACAAUUACAGAGUUUGCUUAUGGUAGAGAAGCAUAGAGACAAAGGGAAAAGUCAAAUCCUGCCAAUCACUUCACAAGACUACACGCACACAUGCAUGUGUAUUAUGUACACUCAACAUAUUCACAAACCCUCACUUAGUCCUCUUUCAGGAAUCCACAUCUUCCCCACCAAUGCAACACAACAGACAUACCAAAGUGAUAAGAGAAUGCCUAAGGAAAUGAAAACUCAGGCUGGUCCCCCUGAAAAACAGCCCCACUAUUGAUUCCCACGUGCAUCAAGCUAGCUCAGCUCUUCAUUCCCUUACAAGUGCUGUCCCUGGAGCCCUUUCUUCUUCUUCACCCAACUUAAAAAAAUCAGCUGCAACAUGACCUAGGCAGUCUUCUCUGACUCCUGAGUUUGAACAGGAUGCCUCACUUCUCUGCAUGCCACCAUCACUGCUCACAGAACAUUAGCUUCAAUAAUGAACUAACUCAUCAGACUAGGAGCAAGGAGCACAUUCUCCUCCAGCUGAUGUCCCCAACACAGUAACUGAUACACAGGAAGUGCUCAAUAUUCUGUUGAGUAAACAAACUGGAAAAGCACAGUAAAUGAAGGGGAAACAAACUCGAAUACUAGUUUGGGCACCUAAUGAAUGUCUGGUACCAUGCUAGGCAUUUUAUUCAUAUUAUUUCAUUUAAUCCUAAAAAAAACCUUACAUUCACUUUACUGAUGAUGAAUCCAAGACUCAGAAAAGUUAAGUAACUUUUCUAUAAUUAAAUAACCAAUAAGUAGUAAUGCCUAGAUUAAAACUCAAAUCUGUCUGAGUCUACAGUGCCUAUUAAAUGGAAUGAAACACAUACUUAGACUCUAUCCCCUCCAUUAUCUCUAAUCUUUAGGUACGAGACAAAAGCCAGGCUGGAAACACUCCUCCAUGUUUAUACCAAGGCCCUUUGUGGAAAAUCUCUAAAAGCACAUCACUGACUUUUCAUCAUCACCACAGCCGAUCAGUCCCCCUCUCCCUUGUAGCCACAGGCACCCACUGCACAACACUUCCUUUUGCACACACUGCUCAAUGUUUGCCUUGCUACAUCCCACCACAUGAACCCUCAGUGC